AGAUAGUGUGUGCUUUAUCAUCGCGUGUGAUAGUUUAUAGUGUUAUUACCUACUUUCCAUCAGUAUAAGGCUACUCAUCUCAGUUAUGGCUAGGACUUACGCCUGAGAAGUGCACCUAUAAAUGUUGUUUCAUUCAGCAAGUCUGAGAAAAGUGGUUGUUCCCCCCUGUAUGUUACAGUGUGAGCAUUUAUAAAGAACUACAGUGAUGCUGGUGAUGUCAUCAUUAUGGGUAACAAGUUUCAUUUGUAGUAUUUAGCCAAGUGACAUGACUUGAUCUUUAAAAAAAAGUUACAAAAAAAGUAUUUCUGUGUUCAGAAUGCAUUAAUUUAAAAAGCAUGACCCCCCCAAAAAAAUAAAAGUACUCCUUGUCGGCUAACUUACAUAUAACCACUUGCAAAAAAAAACCAACCAAAAACCGAUUGUAGGUUUUGUGCCAGGAUGUCCAAGAAGCAUUCUGAGGCCUACCACCUUCUGAGCUACUCAGAAGAACCACGCAGCGUGGACCAAAUAUCUGCACGACCCACUGGGUAGCCUGGCACGAACCUCUGAAAAGUGCAGUGCGGGCUAGCAGAAUAUUUGAAACUAUUUUAAAUAGUCCUAAAUUUUUUAAGGGAAUUGAUGAAGUCCUUGAAAGAAAUAGACAAUAAUAAUAAUAAUAAUAAUAAUGAAAAAUAAGACACAGCAGAAAACGGUCUAU
ensembl:lncRNA